CCUACGGGAGGCAGCAGUGGGGAAUAUUGGACAAUGGGGGGAACCCUGAUCCAGCCAUGCCGCGGGUGUGAAGAAGGCCCUCGGGUUGUAAAGCACUUUCAGUGAGGAAGAACGCCUGGUGGUUAAUACCCAUCAGGAAAGACAUCACUCACAGAAGAAGCACCGGCUAACUCCGUGCCAGCAGCCGCGGUAAUACGGAGGGUGCGAGCGUUAAUCGGAAUUACUGGGCGUAAAGCGCGCGUAGGUGGCUUGAUAAGCCGGUUGGGAAAGCCCCGGGCUCAACCUGGGAACGGCAUCCGGAACUGUCAAGCUAGAGUGCAGGAGAGGAAGGUAGAAUUCCCGGUGUAGCGGUGAAAUGCGUAGAGAUCGGGAGGAAUACCAGUGGCGAAGGCGGCCUUCUGGACUGACACUGACACUGAGGUGCGAAAGCGUGGGUAGCAAACAGGAUUAGAUACCCCAGUAGUC
rnacentral:rRNA from 1 species